UUGACUGUAGCUUAACCUAAAAGCAUAGCACUGAANAUGNUAAGAUG
rnacentral:tRNA from 1 species